UUUGGAGAGUUUGAUCCUGGCUCAGAAUGAACGCUGGCGGCAUGGAUUAGGCAUGCAAGUCGAACGAAGUCUUCGGACUUAGUGGCGCAAGGGUGAGUAACGCGUGAGCAACUUGCCCCGAGGUUGGGGAUAGCCCAUGGAAACGUGGAUUAAUACCGAAUGUGGCGGUCUGCUGAUGGCAGGCUCGCUAAAGAUUUAUUGCCUCGGGAUGGGCUCGCGUCCCAUUAGCUUGUUGGUGAGGUAACGGCUCACCAAGGCGACGA
rnacentral:rRNA from 1 species